UCACUUUCAACAACGGAUCUCUUGGCUCUCGCAUCGAUGAAGAACGCAGCGAAAUGCGAUAAGUAGUGUGAAUUGCAGAAGUAUGUGAAUCAUCGAAUCUUUGAACGCAAAUUGCACUCUCUGGUAUUCCGGGGAGUAUGCCUGU
rnacentral:rRNA from 1 species